rnacentral:lncRNA from 1 species
AUGCUGUACAAUGCACUAUACACAGUUCUUUACAUUGCCACAUACACAAACUCUAAUAGCACAACCAAGAAAGUUACCAUUGCCUAUGAUAGAUGCGUGGUGAGAGAUGACGCCUGUCAGAGACCCUCCCCCCCAGUCUGUACAGUUAUAAAUACGAGGGAAAGGACGGACCGAAGCCGCCGUAUGAAGCAAACCAGUGGGCCCCCCCCCAGCGUCCCCUCGACGCCGGCUCCUGGCUCCGGGCAGGGCUGGGGCUCGGUGGGUGCAGGGCUGGGAGCAGCGGGUGCUCCCUGCCCCAUGGGCUGUCCUGUGGGGCAGGGACGGGGCUUGGGGGACAGGAGGGGCUGCGGGCAGGGGGGUUGCUGCAGCCGGGCGAGGUGGGAGGCGAUGGGCUGGUGCCCGGGGAGCUGUUGGUGGAGGUUCCAGAGCGAAACCCGGCCCCGAUUUCCAUCCGGCAGCAGUGCAGGCAGCGGGGUGCUGGGAGCAUCCAGGCUCACCAGGGCUCUGCCAGCCCCACGGGCAUCACCAGCUCCCCCCACGCCGUGGUCCAAGCACCCAGGUCCAGCCCAUCCCCGUCCCCUCCACCCAGAGCCCCCCAGCUCCUGCCCACCCCUCCCCGGGGUGCUUUCUGGGGGGGCCCACGCCCCGCUGCCUGCUGUCCCUCGCACCGCACCGCACGACGACUGUACACACGACGCUUACCAACACGACUCCACCGCACACACGACAACCCCACGGUCACGAACCACAAAGACAGCUUCGCAAUGGGACCUGCCCCGGGGGUGCACGCCCGGGGCCACCGCGCCGCGGGGCAGGGGGAGGCGAGCGGGGCUGGGGCUGGGGGCUCUUCUCUUUCUGCUGGUGUGGACGGGGGUCCCUGGGCACGGGCAUCCCCGUCUGCAAACGCCUGCGUGCCGGGUGCUGGUGAGCUGCUGGGUGUGCCCAUCAUGCAGACACCCCCCCCCAUUUCUCCCCUGCUUGGGGGGCACACGGGACAGGACCCCCGCUCUCUCCCGUGGCAGCCCCAGUGCCUUCCCUGCCUCUCCUCACCAGCUCCUUCACACCCCCAUGCAGAGCUGGGGGGGCCGGGUACUAAAUAGCCAUUUGCAAUCGCAAUCGGUUUCCGAUGAUUUAAAUACGCCUGAAACAAGAGGUGGUGUAUAA